rnacentral:rRNA from 1 species
AUUGAACGCUGGCGGCAGGCCUAACACAUGCAAGUCGAGCGGUAGAGAGAAGCUUGCUUCUCUUGAGAGCGGCGGACGGGUGAGUAAUGCCUAGGAAUCUGCCUGGUAGUGGGGGAUAACGCUCGGAAACGGACGCUAAUACCGCAUACGUCCUACGGGAGAAAGCAGGGGACCUUCGGGCCUUGCACUAUCAGAUGAGC